AUUCCUUUCUCGGCCAUACGGCUAAGAUCAAGUGUAGUAUUUGUUCUUAUCAAUUCAAUAGCUGGUAUGUGGAUCAAUGGUUUACCCUCUUAUUAAAUUAUUUUUUGUUGGGGGAGAGCCCAUCAUAACAGCAUGCUAAUGCUAUUGGGGAUUCUCAAGCGUUGCCUGGUGUUGCAUUACAGCCUUGGCUCGUCGCACCCCAA